CCUACGUGAGUCUGCAGUGGGGAAUAUUGGGCAAUGGGCGCAAGCCUGACCCAGCAACGCCGCGUGAAGGAAGAAGGCUUUCGGGUUGUAAACUUCUUUUCUCAGGGACGAAGAAAGUGACGGUACCUGAGGAAUAAGCCACGGCUACCUAAGUGCCAGCCGCCGCGGUAAUACGUAGGUGGCAAGCGUUAACCGGAUUUAUUGGGUGUAAAGGGCGGGUAGGCGGGGGCGCAAGUCAGAUGUGAAAACUCAGGGCUCAACCCUGAGCCUGCAUUUGAAACUGUGUUUCUUGAGUGCUGGAGAGGCAAUCGGAAUUCCGUGUGUAGCGGUGAAAUGCGUAGAUAUACGGAGGAACACCAGUGGCGAAGGCGGAUUGCUGGACAGUAACUGACGCUGAGGCGCGAAAGCGUGGGGAGCAAACAGGAUUAGAUACCCGAGUAGUC
rnacentral:rRNA from 1 species